rnacentral:rRNA from 1 species
ACAGAGGGUGCGAGCGUUAAUCGGAAUUACUGGGCGUAAAGCGUGCGUAGGCGGAUCUUUAAGUCGGAUGUGAAAUCCCCGGGCUCAACUUGGGAAUUGCAUCCGAAACUGGGAAGCUAGAGUAGGGCAGAGGAUGGUAGAAUUUCCGGUGUAGCGGUGAAAUGCGUAGAGAUCUGGAGGAAUACCGGUGGCGAAGGCAGCCAUCUGGCCUAAUACUGACGCUGAGGUGCGAAAGCAUGGGGAGCAAACAG